rnacentral:rRNA from 1 species
CCUACGGGGGGCAGCAGUGGGGAAUAUUGGACAAUGGGCGCAAGCCUGAUCCAGCCAUACCGCGUGGGUGAAGAAGGCCUUCGGGUUGUAAAGCCCUUUUGUUGGGAAAGAAAUCCAGCUGGCUAAUACCCGGUUGGGAUGACGGUACCCAAAGAAUAAGCACCGGCUAACUUCGUGCCAGCAGCCGCGGUAAUACGAAGGGUGCAAGCGUUACUCGGAAUUACUGGGCGUAAAGCGUGCGUAGGUGGUCGUUUAAGUCCGUUGUGAAAGCCCUGGGCUCAACCUGGGAACUGCAGUGGAUACUGGGCGACUAGAGUGUGGUAGAGGGUAGCGGAAUUCCUGGUGUAGCAGUGAAAUGCGUAGAGAUCAGGAGGAACAUCCAUGGCGAAGGCAGCUACCUGGACCAACACUGACACUGAGGCACGAAAGCGUGGGGAGCAAACAGGAUUAGAUACCCUGGUAGUC